CCUACGGGAGGCAGCAGUGGGGAAUCUUGCACAAUGGAGGAAACUCUGAUGCAGCGAUGCCGCGUGAGUGAAGAAGGCCUUUGGGUUGUAAAGCUCUUUUGUAGGGGAAGAUAAUGACUGUACCCUAAGAAUAAGGUCCGGCUAACUUCGUGCCAGCAGCCGCGGUAAUACGAAGGGACCUAGCGUAGUUCGGAAUUACUGGGCGUAAAGCGCGCGUAGGCCGUUGAGUUAGUUAAUUGUGAAAUCCCAAAGCUUAACUUUGGAACUGCAAUUAAAACUGCUCGACUAGAGUUUGAUAGAGGAAAGCGGAAUACAUAGUGUAGAGGUGAAAUUCGUAGAUAUUAUGUAGAACACCAGUUGCGAAGGCGGCUUUCUGGAUCAACACUGACGCUGAGGCGCGAAAGUAUGGGUAGCAAAGAGGAUUAGAUACCCUCGUAGUCCAUACCAUAAACGAUGAUUGCUAGAUGUUGGAAAUUUAUUUUCAGUAUCGCAGCUAACGCAUUAAGCAAUCCGCCUGGGGAGUACGACCGCAAGGUUAAAACUCAAAUGAAAUUGACCGGNUGAGACGNGCGACGACGACGACGAGGAGAGG
rnacentral:rRNA from 1 species